AAGUCGUAACAAGGUUUCCGUAGGUGAACCUGCGGAAGGAUCAUUAACGAGUAAACAGGGGAGUUGUAGCUGGCCGCAAGGCAUGUGCACGCUCUCUACUCAAUCCAACCUUACACCUGUGCACCUAUUGUAGGUCGAGUGGCUGGACUUGUUCUGGUCGCUCAUCCUAUGUUUUACACAUACACUUGUAGUCUCAGAAUGUAAUCCGCGUAUAACGCAUUAUAAAACAACUUUCAACAACGGAUCUCUUGGCUCUC
rnacentral:misc_RNA from 1 species